GUGAAGCGGCAAAAGCUCAAAUUUGAAAUCUGGCGCCUUCGGUGUCCGAGUUGUAAUUUGAAGAUUGUAACCUUGGGGUUGGCUCUUGUCUAUGUUUCUUGGAACAGGACGUCACAGAGGGUGAGAAUCCCGUGCGAUGAGAUGCCCAAUCCUAUGUAAGGUGCUUUCGAAGAGUCGAGUUGUUUGGGAAUGCAGCUCUAAGUGGGUGGUAAAUUCCAUCUAAAGCUAAAUAUUGGCGAGAGACCGAUAGCGAACAAGUACAGUGAUGGAAAGAUGAAAAGAACUUUGAAAAGAGAGUGAAAAAGUACGUGAAAUUGUUGAAAGGGAAGGGUUUGAGAUCAGACUCGAUAUUUUGUGAGCCUUGCCUUCGUGGCGGGGUGACCCGCAGCUUAUCGGGCCAGCAUCGGUUUGGGCGGUAGGAUAAUGGCGUAGGAAUGUGACUUUACUUCGGUGAAGUGUUAUAGCCUGCGUUGAUGCUGCCUGCCUAGACCGAGGACUGCGAUUUUAUCAAGGAUGCUGGCAUAAUGAUCCCAAACCGCCC
rnacentral:rRNA from 1 species